UACGUAGGGUGCAAGCGUUAAUCGGAAUUACUGGGCGUAAAGCGUGCGCAGGCGGUGAUGUAAGACAGAUGUGAAAUCCCCGGGCUAACCUGGGAACUGCAUUUGUGACUGCAUCGCUGGAGUGCGGCAGAGGGGGAUGGAAUUCCGCGUGUAGCAGUGAAAUGCGUAGAUAUGCGGAGGAACACCGAUGGCGAAGGCAAUCCCCUGGGCCUGCACUGACGCUCAUGCACGAAAGCGUGGGGAGCAACAGG
rnacentral:rRNA from 1 species